UCCACAGCAUUCGCAAAAUCUCAAUCGUGUUUGGUUCGGCAAAUUGGGUGGUUGUGUUUUCUUUUCAAUGCUGAUGUGGACUUUUAAUUGUUUUUUAAACAAAGUGAAGACACAAGAAAUUUAAAUAUGCUUAGAAUUUUCCAAAUCUGAUAUAGUAAAAAAAUGUUUGAAAUCGGCGCUUGAGAUGCGUGAACAUAAGUACCAGUAUUGCCACUAGAUUACAACAUAUACUAUACAUUAUGUGGGUCAAACAAUCUCCAGAUUCUCAUCACCACCCAAUCGAUUCCAGUAGUACACAAUCCAAAUUAAUUACUGUGACCAGAGAUUGAACGGACUUUAAGCGAAAAUUUUUAUUGUUGUUAAUAAUGGCUUUAGACGUAAUAUAUAAAGAUAAAAGUGUUACCUUCUAUAGCACAUCUUCACUAUGUUGAUUUACAUCCAUAAAUAACAAAAACUAUUUAUUUUCAUCACCGAUUUCUUCUUCAAAACGCAAAUCGUGGUUAAUUAAUUAAUCACCAAUGGAGGCUUUUUAAUUAGUCAGAUGAAAUGAACAAAUCCGGUGAUGAAUGCGAGAUAAUUACAUUAGGUUCCAGAGGAGCUAAUACUAAAAAAUUUUUGCGAUUUGGUCUGGUCAAAGAGUUACACAAAAAAUGUAUGUCGUGAAUUCAUCGAAAUAAAUGAAAUCAUAAAUGCGUAUACUGAAGUGACAGUUCGACCAAAUUUCCUCUUGAGAUGUUUCAAUCUUUCAGCAUAAGAUAACACGUAAGAUGGUUACUUCAUCAGACAAAUGCGUAAAGCUUCCAUAUUGAAUCUCCAACAGACGAAUAACAAAAUAAUACUGGAGAUGAGCAAAUAUUUUCAAUAUUAUGAAUAAUACAUUUGGUGAACCGAUAUCCUGGAUUGAAAGUAUAUUUCAUAACAGUUUGGACUGAAUGUGAGCAGAAGUUAGGAAGUUUUGGUUAUAUAAAUAAUUGUCAAUGCUAACUUUCUUUUAAAAGCAGUACAAAAUUUUAAACCACUAUUUAAGUAUAGCAAAUUGAAAUCAUUUCAAUACCAGUAAUUUCCAGUAAUACCAGUAAUUUACAAGCAUAAAUACCAAUGUCUAGGAUCAUCUCACCAGACAGCAGUAAAGAACAGAUAAGCUAAAAUAUUUUUACUAUUAUCAUUUUUUUAACAAUAUGUGCUAAUCUAAUUAAGACAAAAAUCUUAUUUAAACAAUACAAAUUGUUUUUGUUGGCAAAUAAUACUACAUUAUAAAAGCUGUGCUAAAAAUUUUUACGAUUACUGCGGUUUUGAUAAUUAUUUCCAAAAAAAAGUGUUAAAGGAUCAUUGGAUAAAUAUUGAAGCCUAAUAUGAUUUUAGUUUAAAUUAAAUUUUAAUGUACCUUAAACCAAUAUAUAUACUAAUGAAUUUGUCCCGAGUAAUUGAAUAAUAGUUGUCGAAUUAUAAAUUUUUCUUAUUAUCCAA